CGAUAUUCUCGCUGCCCCGCCCCGAUCGCGAGCGCUCCGAGCGCUAUAAAACAGCCUGUGAUUGGCUGGGCGUGCGCGUGCGCUCGGCUGCCUGGCCAUCUACGUGCGCCGGAGCGGCCGGAAGUACCUGCGCCGCGCCGCACCUCGCAGGACUGCAGGACGCCGGUCUGCCGAAGCCCGAGACCGUCGCGGCCAGGACUGCGGAGGAGGGGUUCUCAGCCCUCAUUUUGCAAUAAAGCCGUGGGUGGAACCAGUU